AUAGUUACUUGGGACAACAGUUUUAGCAGGGCUCUCUUUCUCCUUUCCUGAUCUCUCUGUUAAGCUGCCUGGCUCAUUUGAUAUCACAUCCAAAUUAUCAGCUGAUUGCUCUAUUGUUUUGGACAAUGCCCUGAAGCAUACCAAAAUGUGUCUGGAAUUGGUGGGUUCUUGGUCUUACUGACUUUAAGAAUGAAGUUGCGGACUUUUGCGGUGAUCCACCCUACCACAUAUUGUCUCCUAAUGGCCGUCCAGUUUAUCCUGGAGCCCUUGCAUGACACAGGCCUAUCGAAGCAUAGGAGAUGCCAAUAUUUUACCUCUUGGGUACUUUCUGUGUAGAAGAUUCAUAACAAGAACAAUACUUAUUCUGCAAUUCUUUAUAUAAAGCUCCAGAGGGAAGUGAGAAGGAUGUUCACUUGCUGGUGAGAGAAGGAGCUGGUUCCAUCCAUUACGCAGUCCCCUGGGAGCGCUAAAUGCAACUUUAUCUCAACGGGGAGUGGACGAUGAGCAGGACGUCGCUAGAGGGAAAGAGCCUCACUUCCCGUUUCCUUUGGCAGCGCCCUUUUCCCGACCUAA
rnacentral:lncRNA from 10 species